rnacentral:rRNA from 1 species
GAUGAACGCUGGCGGCGUGCCUAAUACAUGCAAGUCGAGCGAACGGACGAGAAGCUUGCUUCUCUGAUGUUAGCGGCGGACGGGUGAGUAACACGUGGAUAACCUACCUAUAAGACUGGGAUAACUUCGGGAAACCGGAGCUAAUACCGGAUGAUAUUUUGAACCGCAUGGUUCAAAAGUGAAAGACGGUCUUGCUGUCACUUAUAGAUGGAUCCGCGCUGCAUUAGCUAGUUGGUAAGGUAACGGCUUACCAAGGCAACGAUGCAUAGCCGACCUGAGAGGGUGAUCGGCCACACUGGAACUGAGACACGGUCCAGACUCCUACGGGAGGCAGCAGUAGGGAAUCUUCCGCAAUGGGCGAAAGCCUGACGGAGCAACGCCGCGUGAGUGAUGAAGGUCUUCGGAUCGUAAAACUCUGUUAUUAGGGAAGAACAUAUGUGUAAGUAACUGUGCACAUCUUGACGGUACCUAAUCAGAAAGCCACGGCUAACUACGCG